GAAAAAUGCAGUUGACAGAAUGAAAGUUUGUUCAGAAAUGUAGUUGACAGAAUGAAAGUAUGUUUAGAAAUGUAUUAGAAUUACAGUAUAUUUAGAAAUGUAGUUGAUAGAAUAACAGUUUGUUUAGAAAUGUAGUUGACAGAAUGACAGUUUCUUUAGAAAUGUAUUAGACAGAAUUACAGUAUAUUUAGAAAUGUUUUAGACAGAAUGACUGUAUAUUUAGAAAUGUAUUAGACAGAAUUACUGUAUAUUUAGAAAUGUUUUAGACAGAAUGACUGUAUAUUUAGAAAUGUUUUAGACAGAUUGACAAUAUGUUUAGAAAUUUAGUUGACAGCCUGACAGUAUAUUAAGGAAUGCAGUUAGUAAAGUGAUAGUCUAUUGGAAGAAAGUGGUAGGUAACACAGUUUGAUUAGGAAUAUAAUUUUUUUUAAGAUUAAUUUUUGUUUAUUUAGUUCUCUAUGGUUCUCAUUCUGUUAUUGGAUUUCUAAUCUCAAUGGGUUUUUUUUAUUAAAAAAAAUGUUUUUUUUCCUUAUUUAAAAAAAAAGAUUAAGUACAGAAGAUUCUCGUAAAGAAAACAACGAAAAAAUGGACAAACUUAUAGCACAGCUUCACAGUCUAAGUUUAUCUGUUCAAAAUUUUCAGACCGAAAUGGGCAAAAAAGAAUUCCACAGGGAGGAUGACUGAAUGGAGAGAUCUUCAUUUAUUUUAUUUCUAUGUAAAUCUUAAAUGUAAUUCAUUUGAAACUAGAAAUUAUGUCCAGUUUUCUUUAUUUUUCAAUUUAAUCUAUGAACAGUUUGAUUUUUAUCUCCGUCACCUAUUUAUCUGUUUGUGUGGUUACAAUAUAGAGUUAGAUUGUAUUAAAGUUAUUAAUUGAUUUCAAAACAUUGUCUUUAAAUGUUUAGACUCUUAUUAGAAUGUUAAAAACAAAGUCCUUUGAAGUUCUUUGUUAGAAGCAACCCAUCCAGGUUGUUUGGUUGACUUCUUUUAAAGUAGUCACUAUCUGUGGUAGUUUAUUUGUACUGAUAAAACAUAGUUUAUUUUACAUUGUUGUACAUAAUUUUAAUACAAUAUACACUAUAUUGUAAAAAUCUAUUUACAAGUAUAUGUCCAUGCCAUUGGUAAUCAAAAUAACUAGAAAUAUCCUUAAAAUGGAACACCAGCUUUCAUUCAUAUAUUUGAAAUGUUUAUUAAAUGCUUUGAAAUUAUCUAAGGCUUUCUUUUUAAA
rnacentral:sRNA from 1 species